rnacentral:rRNA from 1 species
UUGGAGGGCAAGUCUGGUGCCAGCAGCCGCGGUAAUUCCAGCUCCAAUAGCGUAUAUUAAAGUUGUUGCAGUUAAAAAGCUCGUAGUUGAAUUUCGGGAUCAAUUUAUUGGUCGUGCCAACGGUACGCACUGGUACAAUUGGUUUCUCCCUUCUGACGAAGCAUGAUGUCAUUAAUUUGAUGUCGUGGGGAAUCAGGACUGUUACUUUGAAAAAAUUAGAGUGUUUAAAGCAGGCUUUGGCUUGAAUACAUUAGCAUGGAAUAAUGAAAUAGGACGUUUGAUCUUAUUUCGUUGGUUUCUAAGAUCGACGUAAUGAUUAAUAGGGAUAGUUGGGGCAUUAGUAUUCAAUUGUCAGAGGUGAAAUUCUUGGAUUUAUUGAAGACUAACUACUGCGAAAGCAUUUGCCAAGGAUGUUUUCAUUAAUCAAGAACGAAAGUUAGGGGAUCGAAGACGAUCAGAUACCGUCGUAGUCUUAACCAUAAACUAUGCCGACUAGGGAUCGGAUGAUGUUAAUUUUUUAAUGACUCAUUCGGCGCCUUACGGGAAAC